rnacentral:rRNA from 1 species
GACGAACGCUGGCGGCGUGCUUAACACAUGCAAGUCGAACGAUGAAGCGGGUGCUUGCACUCGUGGAUUAGUGGCGAACGGGCGAGUAACACGUGAGUAACCUGUCCUUUUCCUUGGGAUAACGGCUGGAAACGGCUGCUAAUACUGGAUAUUCAGGCUGCAUCGCAUGGUGUGGUUUGGAAAGGUUUUUUCUGGGAUUGGGUGGGCUCGCGGCCUAUCAGCUUGUUGGUGGGGUGAUGGCUUACCAAGGCUUUGACGGGUAGCCGGCCUGAGAGGGUGGUCGGUCGCACUGGGACUGAGAUACGGCCCAGACUCCUACGGGAGGCAGCAGUGGGGAAUAUUGCACAAUGGACGAAAGUUUGAUGCAGCGACGCCGCGUGGAGGGUGUAGGCCUUCGGGUUGUGAACUCCUUUUUCUCGCGAAAAAGGCACAGUUUUGGCUGUGUUGAUGGUAGUGGGGGAAGAAGCGCCGGCUAACUACGUG